rnacentral:rRNA from 1 species
UACCAGAAAGCCACGGCUAACUACGUGCCAGCAGCCGCGGUAAUACGUAGGUGGCAAGCGUUAUCCGGAAUUAUUGGGCGUAAAGAGUGAGCAGGCGGCAGUUUAAGUUUGGAGUCAAAGCGAGGGGCUCAACCCCUUAACGCUCUGAAAACUGAACAGCUAGAGUGCGAGAGAGGUAAGUGGAAUUCCAUGUGUAGCGGUGAAAUGCGUAGAUAUAUGGAGGAACACCAGUGGCGAAGGCGACUUACUAGCUCGAUACUGACGCUCAGUCACGAAAGCGUGGGUAGCAAAUAGGAUUAGAUACCCUAGUAGUCCACGCUGUAAACGAUGAGAACUAAGUAUUGCCGUGAGGCAGUGCUGAAGCUAACGCAUUAAGUUCUCCGCCUGGGGAGUACGGUCGCAAGACUGAAACUUAAAGGAAUUGACGGGGCCCCGCACAAGCAGUGGAGCAUGUGGUUUAAUUCGACGCUACGCGAAGAACCUUACCAGGACUUGACAUGGAAUUAAAGACCCUAGAAAUAGGGGGAUAGUCAUAGUUCACACAGGUGGUGCAUGGUUGUCGUCAGCUCGUGUCGUGAGAUGUUAGGUUAAGUCCUGCAACGAGCGCAACCCCUGUCCUUAGUUGCCAGCAUUUAGUUGGGGACUCUAGGGAGACCGCCGGCGUAAGCCGGAGGAAGGUGGGGAUGACGUCAAAUCAUCAUGCUCUUUAUGUCCUGGGCGACACACGUGCUACAAUGGUCGGUACAAUGAGAUGCAAAAUCGCGAGGUAGAGCAAAUCUAUAAAGCCGAUCUCAGUUCGGAUUGGAGUCUGCAACUCGACUCCAUGAAGUCGGAAUUGCUAGUAAUCGCAAAUCAGCCAUGUUGCGGUGAAUACGUUCCCGGGCCUUGUACACACCGCCCGUCAAACCAUGAGAGCUGGUAAUACUCGAAGUCGUUAUCCUAACCGCAAGGAGGGAGACGCCUAAGGUAGGACUAGUGAUUGGGGUUAAGUCGUAACAAGGUAUCCCUACGGGAACGUGGGGAUG